rnacentral:rRNA from 1 species
AUUGAACGCUGGCGGCAUGCUUUACACAUGCAAGUCGAACGGCAGCGCGGGCUUCGGCCUGGCGGCGAGUGGCGAACGGGUGAGUAAUGCAUCGGAACGUGCCCAGUAGUGGGGGAUAGCCCGGCGAAAGCCGGAUUAAUACCGCAUACGACCUGAGGGUGAAAGCGGGGGACCGAAAGGCCUCGCGCUAUUGGAGCGGCCGAUGUCGGAUUAGCUAGUUGGUGGGGUAAAGGCUUACCAAGGCGACGAUCCGUAGCUGGUCUGAGAGGACGACCAGCCACACUGGGACUGAGACACGGCCCAGACUCCUACGGGAGGCAGCAGUGGGGAAUUUUGGACAAUGGGGGCAACCCUGAUCCAGCCAUGCCGCGUGCGGGAAGAAGGCCUUCGGGUUGUAAACCGCUUUUGUUCGGGAAGAAAUACUCUGGGCUAAUACCCCGGGGGGAUGACGGUACCGGAAGAAUAAGCACCGGCUAACUACGUG